rnacentral:rRNA from 1 species
GACGAACGCUGGCGGCGUGCUUAACACAUGCAAGUCGAACGGAGCGAUUUAUUUCGGUAAAUCGCUUAGUGGCAAACGGGUGAGUAACGCGUAGGCAACCUGCCCUCAGGAUGGGGACAACGGCUCGAAAGAGCCGCUAAUACCGAAUGACGUAACUCUUCCACAUGGAAGAGAUACUAAAGAUGGGUCAAACCAUCGCCUAAGGAUGGGCCUGCGUCUGAUUAGCCAGUUGGUGAGGUAACGGCUCACCAAAGCGACGAUCAGUAGCCGGUCUGAGAGGAUGAACGGCCACAAUGGGACUGAGACACGGCCCAUACUCCUACGGGAGGCAGCAGUGGGGAAUCUUCCGCAAUGGGCGAAAGCCUGACGGAGCAACGCCGCGUGAGUGAAGAAGGUCUUCGGAUCGUAAAGCUCUGUUGUCGGGGACGAAAGAGUAGACGAGGUAAUGCGUUUACUAAGACGG